rnacentral:rRNA from 1 species
UACGAAGGGGGCUAGCGUUGUCCGGAUUUACUGGGCGUAAAGCGCACGUAGGCGGAUCGUUAAGUCGGGUGUGAAAUCCUGGAGCUCAACUCCAGAACUGCCUUCGAUACUGGCGAUCUUGAGUCCGGAAGAGGUGAGUGGAACUCCUAGUGUAGAGGUGAAAUUCGUAGAUAUUCGCAAGAACACCAGUGGCGAAGGCGGCUCACUGGCCCGGUACUGACGCUGAGGUGCGAAAGCGUGGGGAGCAAACAGG